rnacentral:rRNA from 1 species
AUACGGAGGGUGCAAGCGUUACUCGGAAUCACUGGGCGUAAAGCGCGCGCAGCCGGCUUGGUAAGUUGGAUGUGAAAGCCUACGGCUCAACCGUAGAACUGCAUCCAAAACUGUCAAGCUAGAGUGUGGGAGAGGAAGAUGGAAUUAGUUGUGUAGGGGUAAAAUCCGUAGAGAUAACUAGGAAUACCAAAAGCGAAGGCAAUCUUCUGGAACACUUCUGACGCUGAGGCGCGAAAGCGUGGGGAGCAAACAGGAUUAGAAACCCUAGUAGUCC